rnacentral:lncRNA from 1 species
GGAUUUGGGGUCAUUUGGGGGGUGAGUCAUUGUGGGGAGAAUUUGGGGGAUUUGGGGUCAUUUUGGGGAAAUUUGGGUGGUUUUUGUGGGAUUUUGGGUCAUUUGGGGGCAGAUUUGGGGUCAUUUUUGGGUUUUUGGCUCACUUCUAUGGGAUUUUGGCUCACUUUUGAGUCGUUUUGUGGGAUUUUCAGUCGUUUUGUGGGAUUUUGUGUCCUUUUGUGGGAUCGUGGCUCACAUUUAUGGGAUUUUGGCUCACUUCUAUGUGAUUUUGGCUCACUUUUAUGGGAUUUUGUGUCAUUUUAUGGGAUUUCAGCUCACUUCUGUGGGAUUUUGGCUCACUUCUAUGGGAUUGUGGCUCACUUUUGUGGGAUUUUGGCUCACUUCUAUGGGAUUUUGGCUCACUUUUGUGGGGUUUUGUGUCCUUUUCUGGGAUUUUGGGAUCAUUUUGUGGGAUUUUGUGUCAUUUUGUGGGAUUUUGUGUCAUUUUGUGGGAUUUUGGGUCACUUUUGUGGGUUUGGGGUCAUUUUGUGGGAUUUUGGCUCAGUUUUAUGGGAUUUUGGCUCACUUUUGUGGGAUUUUGGCUCACUUUUAUGGGAUUGUGGCUCACUUUUGUGGGAUUGUGGCUCACUUUUGUGGGAUUUUGGCUCAUUUUUGUGGGAUUUUGGCUCACUUCUAUGGGAUUUUGGCUCAUUUUUGUGGGAUUUCGGCUCACUUUUGUGUCCUUUUGUGGGAUUUUGAGUCCUUUUGUGGGAUUUUGUGUCCUUUUGUGGGAUUUUGGGAUCAUUUUGUGGGAUUUUGGCUCACUUUUGUGGGAUUUUGGCUCACUUUUAUGGGAUUUUGGCUCACUUUUAUGGGAUUUUGGCUCACUUUUGUGGGAUUUCAGCUCAUUUUUAUGGGAUUUCAGCUCACUUCUAUGGGAUUUUGUGUCAUUUUAUGGGAUUUUGGCUCACUUUUGUGGGAUUUCAGCUCAUUUUUAUGGGAUUUCGGCUCACUUUUGUGGGAUUUUGCUUCCUUCCCCCCAAAAAACCCUACAGAACCUAUAGGGCAUCCAACAUGAAGACCCCUGGGGAGCAGUCGGUGCCUGCCCUCAAUUUGCAGAACGCUUUUAGGAUCAUCAAGGAGGUCCAAAAACGUUACAAGACGC